UACGUAGGGGGCGAGCGUUGUCCGGAGUUACUGGGCGUAAAGGGUGCGCAGGCGGCGGUUCGCGUGGAUAGAUGAAAUCUCCUGGCUUACCUGGGAGGAUGGUAUCCAGACGGGAUCGCUUGAGGGUCGGAGAGGGGCGUGGAAUUCCGGGUGGAGCGGUGAAAUGCGUAGAGAUCCGGAGGAACACCGACGGCGUAGGCAGCGCCCUGGACGACACCUGACGCUGAGGCACGAAAGCGUGGGGAGCGAACCGG
rnacentral:rRNA from 1 species